rnacentral:rRNA from 1 species
AAAGAGCUCGUAGGCGGCUUGUCACGUCGGUUGUGAAAGCCCGGGGCUUAACCCCGGGUUUGCAGUCGAUACGGGCAGGCUAGAGUUCGGUAGGGGAGAUCGGAAUUCCUGGUGUAGCGGUGAAAUGCGCAGAUAUCAGGAGGAACACCGGUGGCGAAGGCGGAUCUCUGGGCCGAUACUGACGCUGAGGAGCGAAAGCGUGGGGAGCGAACAGGAUUAGAUACCCUUUUAGUCCACGCCGUAAACGGUGGGCACUAGGUGUGGGCGACAUUCCACGUCGUCCGUGCCGCAGCUAACGCAUUAAGUGCCCCGGCUGGGGAGUACGGCCGCAAGGCUAAAACUCAAAAGAAUAGGCGGGGGCCCGCACAAGCGGCGGAGCAUGUGGCUUAAUUCUACGCUACGCGAAGAACCUUACCAAGGCUUGACAUACACCGGAAACGUCCAGAGAUGGGCGCCCCCUUGUCGUCGGUGUACAGGUGGUGCAUGGUUGUCGUCAGCUCGUGUCGUGAGAUGUUGGGUUAAGUCCCGGAACGAGCGCAACCCUUGUCCCGUGUUGCCAGCAAGCCCUUCGGGGUGUUGGGGACUCACGGGAGACCGCCGGGGUCAACUUACAGGAAGGUGGGGACGACUUCAAGUCAUCAUGCCCCUUAUGUCUUGGGCUGCACACGUGCUACAAUGGCCGGUACAAUGAGCUGCGAUACCGCGAGGUGGAGCGAAUCUCAAAAA